UACGGAGGGUGCAAGCGUUAUCCGGAUUUACUGGGUUUAAAGGGUGCGUAGGUGGAUUGGUGAGUCAGUGGUGAAAUACUUUCGCUUAACGAAGGAACUGCCAUUGAUACUACCAGUCUUGAAUACAGUGGAGGUGGGCGGAAUGCGUCAUGUAGCGGUGAAAUGCUUAGAUAUGACGCAGAACACCAAUUGCGAAGGCAGCUUGCUACACUGUUAUUGACACUGAGGCACGAAAGCGUGGGGAUCAAACAGG
rnacentral:rRNA from 1 species